GCUGACGUUUGAGGCUCAGUUGGUUACAGCGUGGUGCUGAUAAUGCCAAAGUUGCAGGUUCAGUCCCCGUAAGGGGCA